UACGAAGGGGGCUAGCGUUGCUCGGAAUGACUGGGCGUAAAGGGCGCGUAGGCGGUCUAUUAAGUCAAGCGUGAAAGCCCUGGGCUCAACCCGGGAAUUGCGUUUGAUACUGGUAGGCUUGAGAUUCAGAGAGGUGAGUGGAAUUCCUAGUGUAGCAGUGAAAUGCGUAGAUAUUAGGAGGAACAUCAGUGGCGAAGGCGGCUCACUGGCUGAACACUGACGCUAAGGCGCGAAAGCGUGGGGAGCAAACAGG
rnacentral:rRNA from 1 species